rnacentral:lncRNA from 1 species
UCAUGUCAGGAAGCACCGUGGCAUUGGUCCUUUCGUUUCACUUCUAAUGCUUGUUAUUCUAGCCCUGGGACACUUCAUCCCUUUGGUUCUAAACCUCGAAGCAAUGUUCAUUCAAGAUAGCAAGAGAUCGGUCUUGAUUAGAGGUGGAAGGCGGCUCGAAAUGAACAAGGUUAUCAUUAGAGUCGUCACAAUGGUGGCUUUUCUGCUGCAAGUCCGUCUUCUGAUGCUCUCAUGGACUGCUAGAUGCUCCACUGAAAAGAAAAAGACCUUGUGGAUUGCAGAGAAAAGGGGGCUGUAUGUGUGUGUUCCGGUGUAUGUAAUCGGAGCUAUUAUCGCUUUUUCAGUUAAGUCAAGGCAGAAUGUACAUCUAACUUGGUACUACAUAGAUGAAAUCAUUUUGGGGAGUUCAAGAGCUUAUGCUGGUUUGGUACUGGAUGCCUUUCUUUUUCCUCAAAUAAUCUUCAAUAUGUUCCAGAACUUGAGAGAACCAGCACUUUCUCAUUUCUUUUACAUCGGAAUCACCCUUGUUCGCCUCGUACCCCAUGGAUAUGAUCUGUACAGAGCAAACAACUAUGCUGAUAUAGAUGACUCAUACAUCUACGGAGAUCAUGGUGCAGAUUACUACUCAACGGCUUGGGACUUCAUUAUUAUUGUGUUGGGUAUAUUCUUUGCUGUGAUCAUACACUACCAACAGCGCCUCGGUGGUCGAUAUUUCCUUCCGAAGAGAUUCCAAGAAUCUGUGAUAGAUGAGGAAUUUCCGGUAGAUUCGGAAGAACAAUUGCCAUUGAGAUAUAACACCUAGUGCAUGCUUUAAGUGUUAACUACUUUUGUUACCGUGGACUUGUUUUUAGUACUGAUUCGAAAUAAUAAAUAGAACUGUUCUAAAAAAUGUUUUAUUGUAGCUUGGGUAAGUGUUGGGUAAGAAUAUACCUCCAAUAUGAAUAAGUUUGAAGAGUACAUCUCCUUAUCCAUGUUUAAAUAUGUAUCCAACAUGGAUACAAAGAGAAGAUUUAAACUGAUAAUAAUUCAUUAAUCAUACGAAGUCCAUAGAUAUGACCAUUCCAUCAUAGUGUACAAUGAGAUUCAGACAUAAGACAAACAGGCAUGAAAACGCACUCAAUGUCUCAAACUCAACAACAAAACACCAAUUUAUUCAACUCAAAUUUAUUAUUUUUAGGUCCUAAUAUUGCUAUGGACUAAAACAUCAUGGUUCUAUGUCUGCUUAAUGAGUGCCACAUGUGUAGUUUGUGCAGCUGCAGCUAUCUCCACACUUGCACUUGCCAUCGUUCUCUGCCACAGCCUCGACCACUACAGUGCUGAUGUAGCUGCAAAGAAAUAUCACAACAGAUUAUAUUUAAGCAUAUGUGUUCCACUGUGCAAGACAUAGCUUUUUUUUUGCUUCUCUAGGUAAUAAUAUGAUUACUUAUCCAAAUGGGUUCAAUUUUGGUUAAAUUAUUCAAUAUUGGUCCUAAUAUACCUCUUUUCAGUCUCAAUGACCAAGCUAUUUCCUUUCUUCCUGCAAGCAUAACAAAAAAAGCCUUCAGUUUCAAUGAUAAUUGAUUGCAAACUCAUGCAUUUAGUCACAGCAACCUUAGUAAAUUUAUAUUUUAUCUAUGAAAAAAAUUAUAAUUAAAUUCCGGCAGCUAAUAAAUAUUUUUUUUGAAUUUGCCCCUAGUAGUGCAUACUACAGCUAAAAAACAUGCAGAACUAACUUAGGAACAAUAACAAAAUCAAAGAACCACACACAACAGUAGAAACUGGUCGAAAGCUGAUGAUAAAAGGAUGAUUUCUUACACGCACUGACUCUUGUCAGAGCAGUCGCAGUUGCCGCACUUGUCAGACAUGGUGAAUUUGAAAAAGUUGAGAAGUAAAAGGUUUGUUUGAGUUUCUAAAGUAGUUAAGCUAGCUUGCUAUGUAUAUCCAAAGCUAUGCACUUGAUGUAUUUAUAGAAGAGGAAGUACAUUGAAAUGGUGCAAAGGGAAGGCAUCUGUAGGGGCCCAAGCAGGCAUGAGAGAAGCACACGCCUCUGCUACAAAGGAAACGAAUCUUGAUAAUGGAGGCAAAGAAAUGGUUGGCUUACGGUCCUCCUCUCAUGUCUAUAUCAUUUGGAAUUUUCUUUUAGGUUGUCUUUUAGAAUGUAAUCCCAAAAUCUAUGCAAUAUGGACUCUACCCAAAAUGAAAAAUCAAAUUCAACUUUGAAUUGGUACUGCCUUUUAAGUUGAUAUUUAUAUAUCCAACCGAACUUUCAUAGAUCCUCUUUGUUAAUUCUAACACUUACAUAUUCCCCCAUAAGGUCGAGGCGUUCACCAAUUGUGGUUUGCAUUUACAUGUUCUAUUGGAGGUAAAUCUCAUUUCAAAUCAUAAUCUCCAUACAUUUUGCCAUCAUAUCUCAACAGUUUCCACCCUUUCCCCCUUCCACCAUCCAAGAUACGGAGCUUGUGCACCAAGGAUAAGUAUCCAUUCACAAUCUUUCUUACGCAUAUCGUUAUUAUCAUUUUAGUUUGUUAUCACUGACAUGCACAAUUGAUUUUAAAUAAACUUGCUUACUUGGAGAAGAAUAUUAUCAUGAAAUUAGAUGGAAUUUAACUGGAGCACAAGUGAAAGGAACUCACCAGAUUUUACCAGGAAAAGCUUUGCUUAUUCUAUGGGUUCUUUCCCUUUUGCACUAGGGCCUUCUCCCAUUUCUUUAGUUAAAUAAGAUUAAACAUUUUAUUAAGUACAAAAUCAAUCUAAACUUAAAGGUAAAAACAAGAAUCGAAAACAUGCAAACAUUAAUCAGAAGGAAGUUUCUUUCCUAUCUACCUCUAGUAGAAACCUAUAGUAAUGGUUCCUACUACCCUAUCAUUCUUCAUAUAAAACUAAAGGACCUAAGAAUUUACCAGUUGUUAGCUCAAAAACUGGUACCUUCUUCACGCAGCGAAGAACACACUAAGUUUCUUCUGGGGGAACAGGAAUGAACAGUGAAAAAUGGUGAAUAAAGUCAUCCUCUGUUAAGCUCUUAUCUUAUUUAUAUAGGAAUUAGCCCGUAAUUCCACUAUAACAAGUUACCUAAUCAUUUUACAUACACACUCUAUUCCACUAAUCAAACGAGGUUCUACAGAUGUCUUGCAAAAAUGACAGUUCCUAACUUAAAAUUUUGACACAUAAUUGAUGCAUGUCCCACCUACCCAGGCUAUCAACAGAAAUAUCGAAUGACUUACCUUGCUAUAAAAGAACUUGCCACUAGUGUGUCCACACAUGGAAGAACUUGCCAAGCAAAGGAGUUCGCCAAACGCAAGAAAGUGAAAAUCCAUCAGACUGCGGAACACAACGAAAUAAUCCGCUAGGCGAGUCUGCCCAAAAAUUUGGCUAAUCUUGCUGAUUAGAAGGACUAAAUUGCAAGAUCACAUCCAUCGUGUUAGCCGGCCAAAAUACGGAUUCUAAGGUUUGGGGUGUUAUAACUAGGGUUGCCCCAUUCUACAUCUUGAUUGAACUAGGAUUUCACUUUUCUAAUAAAAAAAACUUCUACAACUUAAUAAUUUUACCUUAUCUUAUUAUAAAUAAAUGGCACCGAUAUGGCAUAAAUAACGAACUUUGAAAGAUUAUUAUGCUACCGAAAAAUAGAGAGUUUUAUUGGCAACUAUUAAAUAUAUUUUUCCGGAAUAAUAAUUUUACUAGUUUCUUUUUGAGAAGAGAGAAUUUUUGUUUUCACCCCAUAAUUAAAGAAAAAUUUUCUAGUUUUGUGUUUUGAUUCAAUUAGUUUGUGCUCACACUCGAAACAUUUCAUGGUUUAAGAAUAGUAGAGAAGAUUGUUUGGUUGAAUCCAGAAAAUGUUAAAGAUCCGCAUAUCCAAAAACAUAUAUACGAUUUUGGUCUAAAAUUUAUUACUAUAAAUAUCAUAAACCGGGUUAUUUUCAAAAUAUUAAUUUUUCGUUAUGCAAAAAAACCAUUUUCAAACUAAAUUUUUUUCAACACCAAGCACAUACUAAAUGUGAGGUUGAAACAACCACACAUUAAGAGUCAGAGCAAUGAUGAGCAACAAUUUUUAGCAAACACGUGUUCGAGUGUCACUGGCUAUGAAGUGUUGAGGCAUACGAAUGAUGGAACACACCAUUUUGAAACAAUUCUACAUAUUCUUGUUUCCUUCAACCUUGAAGCAUUUUUGUUGUUGCUGGGUAUUGAAAUUUGCUCUGGUGCUCUUGUUUACCUGCUACGGACACGUGGUACCACGAGAGGAAACCUAAGAGACGCUCACGAAUGAUCCUUCUCUUUGCAACACUUGUCUUAUUCUCUACUUGAAGGUCACUCAAAUGACCAUUUAUCUGGACACUUCAUCCUCUUGGCCACUUCCUUUUAGUGGGAACACACUAACUCACAAGGGGAAACCAUGCCGCUAAGGUGUAACAACCUCAUUCCAAGAAAUGUUAGAGCAUCAUCAAAACUAACCUACCACCUGGCCAACCAUAUGAUCAAACCACCGCUCGUACUAUCGGUGACAUGGCACCAACAACCACGAGACCUCCUAUAAAUACCUUCCAUAAUGCUGAAGGAAGGAUCUUUCUGCCUUCAACAGCCCUAAGCACUCUUUAGAACCCUGUCUCCUUUGCUACCUUACCUCCCUCGCUGCCUUCCUCUUUUUUCCGACUCUUCACUUAUUUAAGUGAAUUGAUCUUCCUUAUACCACCACCUCUCCUCAUCUCAUCAAUUACUAAUACCCAAUAUCAACAAAAUAUAAAUACGAUAUCUGUUAAAGAGAUACAUAAUAUAUGAAAUCUAUUAAUAACAAUUUCAUUGCUCCAAUCAAUUGUGGUGAACUUUUGUUUAGAUUUAUUUCCCUGAAUAAAUUUAAUAGUAAAUUGUAGUUUGUAGACACCGAAAGCACGUUUCAGGCCAGAAAAAAAAGACAGCGAAAGCUGGUGGAAGGUUUCAAGUUUCUGAUUUUAAGUCAAGUCAGCUGUUGUAGUUUCUGAUUUUAAGUCAUGUCAGCUGUUGUAGGACCUGCCAAUAAAAGCCUUUUGUCUGGACCCAAAAAAUUGGCAAAAAGAAGAAGAAAGGUGCAUGCUGAUUGACAUUGACUUAGCUAUAUGCCAAAAUUAUAAUAAUACAUGGAUUGAAGUAGGGCACAAGUACUAUUCAUACUAGUGCGAAACCCCUUGCUUUGUUGACUUGCUUAAGUGAUAAAAAUUAAUUUUAAUUCGUAAUUCAUUUAAAUUUUUUAUAUUAUUAUUUGUUUUUAAAUUAUAAAAAAAUAUAUAGAAUUAUUAGAUAAAUAUAUGUCCGGAAUGAACUUGAAGAUAUAAUUGUUCAGAUUCACUUGUAUCUAAAUAACUAUUUGUCCAGAUUUAUUGUGCACUUAAAAUAAAAAAUCCUAAAAUUCAAGAAAAAAUCUACAAAAUUUAUAAAAAAAAAACGUAAAAUUUUAGUAAAUACAAGAGUAUAUAUUAAAAAAUUCUAUUUCUAUUUUUUGAAAUUAUAAAAAAAUAAAAACACAAAAAAAGACAUUACGAGCGAAUCUAGUUAUAUGGUUGUCCAAAAAUUUAAUUGUUCAGAUUCAUUAUGCAUGCAAAAUAAAAAAUAAAAUUCCUAAUUUUUAAUAUUUUUAAAUUUUUAUAAAAAUUAUUUUUGGGAUACGUCUCAACAUUCUAUACCAUCAGACCAAAAAUUAAUAAUGUUAGUUAAGUAUGAGCAAAAAAUACCAAUUUGCCUUAUAAUUUUUAGUCGAUUGAGUUUUAACUCGAUUGACAUAAAUACUAUAGUCAAUAUAGAAGGCCAUGGGUUCGACUAUGCUAAAAUACAUUAUACUCCUAUUUAUGAGGUGAGAAGGUAUUAUAAAUAAUUCUAGGCAUUGUAUUUAAAAAAAAAAAUUAAAACCUAAAAUAACUUGUGAUUUUUAAAUUUAAAUACUCAAUAAAUAUAAAUUACUAUGUUGAAAUACCUCUAUAUAUAUUAGCCAGUUUUCUAUAGUUUAGCUACAUAACCAUGUUUCUAUGCUUUCAUUGGUAAGUCUAAAUAGAUUAAACAAUUAAUAAUCUUAUUAGAGACCGCUAAUGUAAGGUCCCAACUCCCAACCUAAAAGUUACUACAUUUGUAAUCACUGAAUUUUCUCUAAAUUAAUUUCGUGUUAAAAGAAGAAGGAUUUUUUUUUAAUUUUUAAUUUUUUUUUUUGCAUUUUGACCCCUAAACCUUCCAUAAUUAGUAUUUUCCAUAAUGUCAUUUUCUCUUCAUUUUCCAUAAUGUCAUUUCCAGUGAGAGAUGUAGAGUGAUGUCUACAAGUACCAGUAGAUAUUACAUGCUUGAAGUUGAUGUUUAAAGUUCAUAAUCGGAUAUUAAAUUAUAAUCAUUCGUAUAAUCAAAAUCGAUAUAAUAAAUCUAAAAAAAAUUAUGAUUACGAAUUAUGAGAUAUUUUUAUAUUUUUUUGGUAUUUUUAUCAUUUUUUAUGUACAUAUUUAAGGUUUAUGAUUUUUUCUCUCAACAAUAUUGUCUCAAAAAUUUAAAUAAUGUGACUUAUCAUUGUAGGCAUUUGAUUGGUCCAAAUCAAAAUCUAACUCUUUCAACCGUGUAAAGAGAGUCAAGGUCUCAUCAUCUAAUUCAAUUAUCUUAAUUAGACGAUCAUUUACAAUUCAAUUCUAAACUAUCAUACAAUCAAAAUAUGAAUGAAAAGAAAUUUUAUAAUUAAUAUAUUAAUUAAAAUUUUAUAUAAUGAGUAUUUAAUUGAAAUCAUAAAAAUUUUAAAAUUUUUUAUGUUAAGAGUUCAUAUCUCAUCAUAAUUUACUAACGUGACACACAUAAGCAGUCACGUGCAUGACACGUCAAUAUUUAAUUAAAUACAUAGUUAAUUUCAAGUCUCUAAAAAUAAAUGAUUGACAAAUAGCAGGAAUUUUCAUUCAUCUCUAUGCUCUAGUUGCUUAAAUCAAGUCAGCUGCUGGACCUGCCAGGAAAAGUCUUUUGUUUGGACCCAAAAUCUGGAAAAAUAUGUGUACCUGCCAGGAAAAGUCUUUGGUUUGGACCCAAAAACUGGAAAAAUAUGUGUAUCUCCAAUGAGAUUGACUUGGCUAUAAUAAUAAUCAUAACCACUCGUUGUUGGAUUGAGGAUGAGCACGAGUCUUGACUCUAAAACUUUAUUUAAUGUGAUAAAAUAUAAAUAAGUAUUAUUCAUACGAAUUUUUCUGCAAGCUCUUGUUCUUGGAAAUUUCCCAUGUCCAGUGAGAGAUGUAGAGUAAUAUCUAUAUAUUUAUGAUCAUUUUCAAAGCUUUUGCAAUAAGUUCUUUACCGCAAUCUUGCUGUCUGAAGAAAAUCAUGUCUAUAGAUAUGGACUGUUCCAUAUUCUGUAGGACGAAACUUUGUUUUAUUAAUGCUUUCUUCUUCUUGUUUAUCAUCUCCUCUUUCACAUGUCCUCAUGUAGUCUUCGGCACAGCAAGUGAAGUUGAUUAUGGUGUUCACUGUAACUCAGUUGUUCAUGAAUCCAAACCAGUUGAUGAGGAGUUCAAUAUCAUGCCUUUCCCUGGACGUCAAAAUGGUUACUUCAGUGGUGGUGAUAAAGUCCUAAACAAUCCUCCUUCACGUUCCUACUCUCCACCGGAAUCGAAAACUUUCCUUUUCGAGACUCACCACGUAUAUACAACCGAUGCCGAUGAUGUCUUUAUGGUGGAAGGAAACCUGAUUUUUCAAACCUCGUUUUACUAUGAACAAAGUAUCUCCUAUGGAAGCUCAUACGUUAUAAGGUCAAGCGACUCAAGCGACCGUGGGACACUGGACUUCGAUUUUCAAGGCUUCUGGUCUCGAACAACCGGGAAGCUUUGCAUGGUGGGAUCGAGUUAUGCUUACUCGAAAGAAGGUAAACUGCUUCAUCUUGCUGCUGUUCUUGAGAUUAAUAAUCUUCAGAGUUCAAGUAAUAUUAGGACUUUAGUCACUGGUACCAUGGAUAGCUUGAGUUCUGCUAAUGAUCCAAAUCACUUUGAGCAAAUAUCACUGCUGAUGUUUCCUCAAGUAAAUUACGCUUACACCAUGAUUUCAAAUCAGUUCAGUGAAGGGUGUCCUCGGGGAACCGAUGUCCAACCGAUGUCGUCCCUCCGCUUAUCGCGCACUCGAACUAUUUGUGAUAUGUUAGGUGGAAGCAAUGCUUUCGAAUUGGAGUAUUCUGGCAGUUGUAAUUUUUCAAAGAGUUGCAAUCCAUUUGGUGAUGGUAUUAGAUAUUUCCCUUCAGUAGUAUCAUUGCGUAUGAUUCAGUGCUCAAACGAUGGGCUAAGCUUGAGGCUUCUGAUAGAAUUUCGGAACGAUAGAUAUCAGGGAUACUAUAGCUCUCCCAAUCUCAACACUUCAUUAAUUGGAGAAGGAUCUUGGGAUGCAAAGAGUAAUCGGCUUUGUAUCAUAGCUUGCCGAAUCUAUGAUGCAUCGAGCUCCUUGGAGAAGUCUCAUGUCGGAGACUGCACGACACGGUUGAGCUUAAGAUUCCCUGCAAUCUUGUCUAUCAGAAACACAAGCACCAUCGUAGGAGAAAUUUGGAGUGUGAAGCUUAGGAAUGAAGGUGGUUUCUUUGAUAGGAUCGAGUUCCGAAAUACUGCACCUUAUGGAGGAAUUCAACUUCAAGGUUUGAAGUAUGUGUACACGGAAAUGGACGAAGUGAAGAAAUCAUGUCCAAAGAAGAAUUCUAGGACUAAAAGCAGUAGGGAACACUAUCCAGAUGGCUAUUCUGGAGACAUGAGUUUUAGUAUGUCGAUCAUCAACGGUUCCAAAGGAAGCAUCGGAUGGGGUUCUUCGAAUAUUCUUGCGGUAGAUGAUCAGCAGUAUCAGAGAUUUCCAUCUCUAUUACCAUCCUCCAGCUCAAAGCCUAAAAUUCCUGGUGUUGAAUCCGAUUCCAGCAGUGGCUUGCUUAAUGUCAGCUAUAAAAUGAGUAUCAUGCUGCGUAGUUCGGAAUUGGAUGGUGGCCUUAAUCCGGUUAACGAAUCUUCAAAUGAAUAUUUGAAAACCGAAAUCCAAAUUUCUGCUGAAGGGGUUUAUGAUACAGCAACAGGUAGCCUAUGCAUGGUUGGCUGCAGACAUUUAAGGUCAGGUGACAAAACAUUUUCAAGCCAUUCGAUGGAUUGCGAGAUCCUGGUGAAAAUCAAUUUUCCUCCAUUGAACUCGGACAGGAGAAGUAAGAUCAGAGGAAGCAUCGAAAGCACACGUGAAGAAAUCGAUCCUCUGUCCUUCAAGCCCCUGCAGUUUUCGGGAAGAGCUUAUUAUCGCAGUUGGGUUACGGAAUCAAUUUGGAGAAUGGAUUUCGAGAUGAUCGUGUCGGUCAUAUCCAACACUCUUACAAUUAUCUUUGUUGCAUUUCAAAUCUUUCAUGUGAGGAAGCACCGUGGCAUUGGUCCUGUGGUUUCACUUCUCAUGCUAGUUAUUCUAGCCCUGGGACACUUCAUCCCUUUGGUUCUAAACCUCGAAGCAAUGUUCAUUCAAAAUAGCGAGAGAUCGGUCUUGAUUAGAGGUGAAACGUGGCUCGAAAUGAACGAGGUGAUCGUUAGAGUCGUCACAAUGGUGGCUUUUCUGCUGCAAGUCCGUCUUCUGAUGCUCUCGUGGACUGCUAGAUGCUCCACUGAAAAGAAAAAGACCUUGUGGAUUGCAGAGAAAAGGGGGCUGUAUGUGUGUGUUCCGGUGUACGGAAUCGGAGCUAUUAUUGCCUUUUCGGUUAAGUCAAGGCAGAAUGUACACCGAACAGUAAGGGCCAGGCAUUCUUGGUACUACAUAGAUGAAAUCAUUUUGGGGAAUUCAAGAGCUUAUGCUGGUUUGAUACUGGAUGCCUUUCUUUUCCCUCAAAUUAUCUUCAACGUGUUCCACAACUCGAGAGAACUGGCUCUUUCUCGACUCUUUUACAUCGGAAUCACCCUUGUUCGCCUCGUACCCCAUGGAUAUGAUCUGUACAGGGCAAACAACUAUGUUGAUAUAGAUGACACAUACAUUUACGCAGAUCAUGGUGCAGAUUACUACUCAACUGCUUGGGACUUCAUUAUUAUUGUGUUGGGUAUAUUCUUUGCUGUGAUCAUACACUACCAACAGCGCCUCGGCGGUCGAUAUUUCCUUUCGAAGAGAUUCCUAGAAUCUGGGACAGAUAAGGAACCUCCAGUGGAUUCAGAAGAACAAUUGCCAUUGAAAUAUAGCACCUAGUCCAUGCCUUGUGUUACUUUUAAGUGUUCACAACUUUUACUGUUUCCAAAUAAUUAUGUAAAUUCAUCCUUUUUCUUUUAUAGCUUAAUAAGCCUAAUGUAAUAUAAAGUUAUAAAUAAAAUUGUUUUAAAAAAUAUUUUAUUUUAAAUUUUUAUUUUAGAUUAAAGUUUGGGUGAGCCUUAAAUGUGAAUAUGUACCCAAAAUGAAUAAAUUUAAAAAGUACACAGUACAAAGAAAAAAAAAAAUUUUGUGUCAGAAUCAAAUAAAAAAAUCCGAAAAAAAGAAAAAAAAAUUGGGUGUUGGCCUGUCAAUGGCCGGCACCCAGUACGCAGUACAAAGAAAAAAAUUUAUUUAUUUUUAUUUUUUUCGUAUUUUUUUAUCUGAUUCUGACACGAAAAAAAAAUAAUUUUUUUUCUUUCUACUGUGUACUGGGUGCCGGCCAUUGACAGGCCAGCACCCAAAAUUUUUUUUUAUUUUUUUUCUUAUUUUUUAUCUGAUUCUGACACAAAAAAAUAAAAUUUUUUUUCUUUGUACUGUGUACUGGGUGCCGGCUAUUGACAGGCCAGCACCCAAAAAUUUUUUUUUAAUUUUUUUCGUAUUUUUUAUCUUAUUCUGACACGAAAAAAAAUAAAAAAAAAUUUUGUACUGUGUACUGGGUGCCGGCCAUUGACAGGCCAGCACCAAAUUUUUUUUUUUGUUUUUUUUCUUUUUUGUAUAUCCGUAUUUCAGUAUUACACAAUUUUUUUAAAAAAAUACCUGGGUUCUGGCCAUUGACAAGCCAGAACCCAAAAAAAUAAUUUUUUUAAGUCUAACAUAAUGAUUAGCCAAUCAUUGGUGCAAAAAAAGAGUGGGUACUGUUCAUUUUAGGUUAUUUUGGUGAUUGUUUUUAAACUUGGGUUAUUUUUGUAAAUAUAAUAUUUUUUGGGUUAUUUGGGUAAAACAGCCUAGUUCUGUCCUGGACGGGUCAUUGGAUCUAAUUCGAAGUCUUAUCCGAAAAUUGAAAGGGUUUGAAUGAAAAUAUAAGCUCAAAAAAUAGACUUGGACAAAAUAAAAAGACUCGUUUAAAAAACGGAUCAGACCUUGGGUAAGCCUUUUUGGCCCAAUCUCGGCCCUAAUUAGCAAAAAGACAAAAAAAAAAGCCUACUAUUUUCUUACUGUUUUGAUACUAUUUUUUUUAUUAUUUUCUUACUUUUUUACUAUCAUUUCAUUAUUAUGUUACUAUUAUUUUGUUAUUAUUAUUUAGAUAUUGUAUAACUCUUAUUUUAAUAUUAAUUUUGUUACUAUUUUAGAGACAUUUGUUUGUUAAGUUACACUUAUCUUAGUAUUAUUUAAGUAUAAAUUUAUUUUUUAAAUUUAUUUUCAAUUUUUUAAGAAUCAUUUAUUUUAAUGUUUUUUAUAUUUUAGAUGUAUUAUAUUUUUAAUUUUUUAUAUAUAAAAAAUAAUAUAAAGAAAUUAAUUUGGGCGGAUCGAACUAGACUCGAGUUUUAGUAUUUUUAUCCAAGUUGGGCUUGAAAAAAAUUUAAGCCCAUUUUUCGGGUCAAAUCGAGCCCAAACAUAGCAAACGGGCCUAAAAUAAUAAUAAUUCAUUAUUGGAUUGAGGUAGAACAUGAGGCUUGACUCUCGGCUUGUUAAAAUAUAUUAUUUGGUACCCAUAUUUGAUUUCAAUGUUUGAUUUGGUAUCUGAGUUUGACUUCAAUGCUUAGUUUGAUACUUGAGUUUUUUCAUAUUAAUGCUUGAGUUUUUCUUUGUCACAUAUAAGUACCUAAAUUUUACUUCAAUGUUUAAUUUGGCACUUGAGUUUUUUCUUUUGUCCCAAUUAAGUACCUAUGAUUAUUUUACUAAGGCACACAUGUAAAAUAUUUUUUGAAGUACACGAUGUUUAGUUUGGGUACCAAAUUAAAUAUUGAAACCAAAUAUAAGCACUAAAUGGUAUAUUAACCCUUAACUUUAUCAUAUAGGGACCUAAAUUUAACAAAAAUAAAAUUAACAGUGUUAACAAUUAGACCUAAAUUCUAAAAUUUUAAAAGUAGAAAGAGUAAGGUCCUGAAAAUAAAAAUAUAGGGACUAAAUUUUAAAUUUAUGAAUCGUACAGGAUCUACAACAUAUUUUAACCCUUUGAAAAAUCAACGAUUAGACCACUUUUAGCAAAUAGCAGGAAAUUGCAUCCAUGUGCUCUAGUUUUUAAGUCAAGUCAGCUGUUGUAGGACCUGCCGACAAUAAUAAUAAUAACCACUCGUUAUUGAUUGAGGUAGAAGACGAGGCAUGACUCUAAACUUCCUUUAAUUUUAAAGUUAAUAUAUUAUUUAGUACCUAUAUUUAAUUUUAAUGUUCAAUUCGAUACCUAAAUUUUUUUCCCAAAUUGGUACCUGAUUUUUUGGGUAUUGAUACUUGAGUUUUCUUUUUCCCAUACCAGUACUCAGGUUUGACUUUAAUGUUUAAUUUAACACCUGAGUUUUUUUUGUCCCAAUUAAGUAUCUAUGUUUUUUUACUAGGCGGACAUGUCAAAUAUUUAUUGAACCACACGAUGUCGUUUAGUUUGAGUAUCGAAUUGAACAUUGAAGCCAAACUUAGGUUUCAAAUUGAAACAAAAAAAAGAUUAGGUACAAAAUUGAAAAUUCAAGCCAAAUGUAAGUACCAAAUGAUAUAUUAACCCUUAAUUUUAUCAUAUAUAUAUAUAUAUGUAAAUAUUAAUCAAAAAAAUUAAACAUUUUGGUGUUGAUUAUAUAAAUAUUCAUAUAAGACAUUCACACCAAAUGGCAUGAUUUCACCCAUAUUUCUGGUAUUGUUUAUACGUUUGAGGGUCAGUCUACAAAAAAAUACAUCAGUUUUCAAAAAUUAUUUAGUUGUUAAAUAUAAGGUUGUCUUUUGCUGUGUUCAUUUUAUAAUGUGAUUUGAUCAAAAACUUCCUUCGGAUUAAAUAUAAAAUAUUGUCAUAAUCCUCUCUUACUUUUCAAAGUCUUGCAAGGUCUUGUUCUUGGAAAUUUCCCAUGUCCAGUGAGAGAUGUAGAGUAUAAUAUCUAUAUAUUUAUGAUCAUUUUCAAAGCUUUUGCAAUAAGUUCUUUAUCACAAUCUUGCUGUCUGAAGAAAUUCAUGUCUAUAGAUAUGGACUGUUCCAUAUUCUGUACGACGAAACUCUGUUUUAUUAAUGCUUUCUUCAUGUUGUUUAUCAUCUCCUCUUUCACAUGUCCUCAUGUAGUCUUCGGCACAGCAAGUGAAGUUGAUUAUGGUGUUCACUGUAACUCAGUUGUUCAUGAAUCCAAACCAGUUGAUGAGGAGUUCAAUAUCAUGCCUUUCCCUGGACGUCAAAAUGGUUACUUCAGUGGUGGUGAUAAAGUCCUAAACAAUCCUCCUUCACGUUCCUACUCUGCACCCAAAUCGAAAACGCUCCUUUUCGAGACUCACCACGUAUUUACAACCGAAGCUGAUGAUGUCUUUAUGGUGGAAGGAAACCUGAUUUUUCAAACCUCGUUUUACUAUGAACGGAGUAUCUCCUCUGGAAGCUCACACUUUAUUAUAAGGUCAAGCGAUUCAAGCGACCGUGGGACACUGGACUUCGAUUUUCGAGGCUUCUGGUCUCGAACAACCGGGAAGCUUUGCAUGGUGGGAUCGAGUUAUGCUUACUCCAAAGAAGGUAAACUGCUUCAUCUUGCUGCUGUUCUUAAGAUUAAUAAUCUUAGGAAGUCAAGUACUAUCAGAACUUUAGUGACUGGUACCCUGGAUAGCUUGAAUUCAAUUGGUGAUCCAAAUCACUUUGAGCAAAUUUCACUGCUGAUGUUUCCCCAACUAAAUUACGCUUACACCAUGGUUUCAAAACAAUUUAGUGAAGGGUGUCCUCGGGGAACCGAUGUCCAACCGAUGUCGUCCCUCCGCUUAUCGCAAACUCGAACUAUUUGUGAUAUGUUAGGUGGAAGCAAUGCUUUCGAAUUGGAGUAUACUGGCAGUUGUAAUUCUUCAAAGAGUUGCAAUCCAUUUGGUGAUGGUAUUGGAUAUUUACCUUCAGUAAUAUCGUUGAGUAUGAUUCAGUGCUCAAACGAUAGGCAAAGCUUGAGGUUUCUGAUAGAAUUCCGGAACGACAGCUAUCAGGGAUACUAUAGCUCUCCCAAUCUCAACACUUCAUUAAUUGGAGAAGGAUCUUGGGAUGCAAAGAGUAAUCGGCUUUGUAUCAUUGCUUGCCGAAUCUAUGAUGCAUCGAGCUCCUUGGAGAAGUCUCAUGUCGGAGACUGCACGACACGGUUGAGCUUAAGAUUCCCUGCAAUCUUGUCUAUCAGAAACCCAAGCACCAUUGUAGGAGAAAUUUGGAGUGAGAAGCCUAGGAAUGAAGGUGGUUUCUUUGACAGGGUCGAGUUCCGAAAUACUGGACGUUAUGGAGGAGGAAUUCAACUUCAAGGUUUGAAGUAUGUGUACACGGAAAUGGACGAAGUGAAGAAAUCAUGUCCAAAGAAGAAUUCUAGGACUAAUAGCAGUAUGGAACACUAUCCAGAUGGCUAUUCUGGAGACAUGAGUUUUAGUAUGUCCAUCAUCAACGGUUCCAAAGGAAGCAUCGGAUGGGGUUCUUCGGAUAUUCUUGCGGUAGAUGAUCAGCAGUAUCAGAGAUUUCCAUCUCUAUUACCAUCCUCAAGCUCAAAGCCUAAAAGUUCUGGCGUUGAAUCCGAUUCCAGCAGUGGCUUGCUUAAUGUCAGCUAUAAAAUUAGCAUCCCGCCACUUAGUUUGGAAUUGGAUGGUGGCCUCAAACCGGUUAACCAAUCUUCAUAUGAAUAUCUGCAAACCAAAAUCCAAAUUUCUGCUGAAGGGGUUUAUGAUACAACAACAGGUAGCCUAUGCAUGGUUGGCUGCAGGCGUUCAAGGUUAGACGGCAAAUCAUUUUCAAGCCAUUCGAUAGAUUGCGAUAUCCUUGUGCAAGUCAACUUUCUUCCAUUGAACUCGCGCAAGAUAAAUAACAUCAAGGGAAGCAUCGAGAGCACGCGUGAAAAUACCGAUAGUCUGUACUUCAAGCCUCUGCAGAUUUUGGGAACAACUAAUUCUCGCAGUUGGGGAGCGGAAUCGAUUUGGAGAAUGGAUUUCGAGAUGAUCGUGUCGGUCGUAUCCAACACUCUUGCAAUUAUCUUUGUUGCAUUUCAAAUCUUUCAUGUGAGGAAGCACCGUGGCAUUGGUCCUAUGGUUUCACUUCUCAUGCUUGUUAUUCUAGCCCUGGGACACUUGAUCCCUUUGGUUCUAAACCUCGAAGCAACGUUCAUUCAGGAUAGCGAGCGAUCGAUCUUGAUUAGAGGUGGAAGGUGGCUCGAAAUGAAUGAGGUGAUCAUUAGAGUCGUCACAAUGGUGGCUUUUCUGCUGCAAGUCCGUCUUCUGAUGCUCUCAUGGACUGCUAGAUGCUCCACUGAAAAGAAAAAGACCUUGUGGAUUGCAGAAAAAAGGGGGCUGUAUGUGUGUGUUCCGGUGUACGUAAUCGGAGCUAUUAUCGCCUUUUCGGUUAAGUCAAGGCAGAAUGUACACGGAACAGUAAUGGCCAGGCAUUCUUGGUACGACAUAGAUGAAAUCAUUUUGGGGAAUUCAAGAGCUUAUGCUGGUUUGAUACUGGAUGCCUUUCUUUUCCCUCAAAUCAUCUUCAACAUGUUCCACAGCUCGAGAGAACUGGCUCUUUCUCGACUCUUUUACAUCGGAAUCACCCUUGUUCGCCUCGUACCCCAUGGAUAUGAUCUGUACAGGGCAAACAGCUAUGUUGAUAUAGAUGACACAUACAUUUAUGCAGAUCAUGGUGCAGAUUACUACUCAACUGCUUGGGACUUCAUUAUUAUUGUGUUGGGUAUAUUCUUUGCUGUGAUCAUACACUACCAACAGCGCCUCGGCGGUCGAUAUUUCCUUUCGAAGAGAUUCCUAGAAUCUGUGAUAGAUGAGGAACCUCCAGUGGAUUCAGAAGAACAAUUGCCAUUGAAAUAUAGCACCUAGUCCAUGCCUUGUGUUACUUCUAAGUGUUCACAACUUUUACUGUUUCCAAAUAAUUCUGUAAAUUGAUCCUUUUUCUUUUAUAGCUUAAUAAGCCUAAUGUAAUAUAAAGUUAUAAAUAAAAUUGUUUUAAAAAAUAUUUUAUUUUAGAUUAAAGUUUGGGUGAGCCUUAAAUGUGAAUAUGUACCCAAAACGAAUAAAUUUAAAAAUUAUACUUUUUUUUAUAUUUAAAUAUAAAUCCAACAUAAAUUCUUACAAAAAUUAAAAGUAAAUUUAUUGGCAUGUAGCAUAACAUUUCCUUGUAAUUUUGGUGUUUUCAGCUUUCCAUUUACCAACUUUUGACUUAGUUUACUCCUCUCUAGUGUUUGAUAAAAGCUAUUAAAAAACCUAUAAUUUAUAACCAUAGUUAAAUAUCCAAUGUAUUAAUGAUAUGUUUGGUAGGAAUAUGAAUUAGUAAUAAAUUAAUUUCAGUCGAUAAUUUAAAUAUUUAUAUGAUCGACUUGUUUGAUAUGUUUAAUAUAAACGAGGACUGUUAUGUUAAAUACUAGAUAUGAACUUUGGGGGUUAGCUGCCCCUAAAAUUUAUAAAAUUUCUUUUAAGGUCCUUUGAAUUUUCAAUUUUUUUAAUUGGAUAUUAUAAUGUAGUGUCUAAAAAGGAGGACAAAUUUGUGUUUGACUUCUUAAACUUUUUUCAAUUUUUUUAUUUGAUUUCUUUUAUAGAAUUUAUAAAUUUUUUAAUUAUAAAUUUAAUAAAUUAAUGCAAAGUAAUAUAUAAAUAUUAAUUUGUUAAUAAAGUAAUAAUUGCAACAUCUAAGUAUAAUUAUUAUCUAAAAUUAAUUAGAUGAAAAAUAAACUUAAAUAAUUAUAAUAUUUAAUAAAAAUUGAGCAUUUAGCUCUUUUUUUCUUCUAAAUUUUGGUGACUAAGAUUAUCCCGAAUGUAAAAAUCUGUUGUUGAAAGCAGGUCUUUUCCACUUUGAUCAUGUAUAUUAUAUAUAAAUAUCUCGCCCCCUUAUCAACAAUUUUAGCUUCGACCUUGUAAAUAACACUCAAAUUUCAAAAAGGCAAUGAAAGAUAGAUAUUACGAUAUCAAAGUGUUUGGUUGUUGAGAAUUGUGAUAUUUGUUACUAUUGUUAUAAUUUAUUUCGUAUGAAGUUUACAUCAGUGUUAAUUAUGAUUAUCAUCCGAAUCUGUAUCAUUAAGAUCAUCAAGAUUUUUUUUUUGGUGUACUUUUCAAAGUAUGAAUCAUUCCAAAUUCAUCUAUGAAUGAAGCUGCGAAUUAUGCAACAUGUUUGUACAAUCCAAUGAAAUAUGAAUCAUCACUUUUAUAAUAUACAAAUUAUUUUUAUGAUAAUUUUUUAUCAUAACUUAAAAAAAAUAAGUUUAAAUAAUAUAAAUUUUUAUUAUAAUUUUAUAAAAUAAAUAUAAAUUAUUUUCAGAACAUAAUUUAUUAUAAUGAUUAUGAUUUUAACCAUUACUUUUCACAACACAUUAUUCUAAACAUUAAAGGUAUGAUUUUAACCAUUACUUUCUACUACUUUCAAUUAUACAAAAAGAUUUAAGUUUAGAUCCCACACUUGACUCGAAGAUAUAAAAACCUUAAUUGGAUGAAGAGAUUGACGAUCUAGUUCGGAGGAGAGGGAUGAUUUUUAAAACUUUUUGAAUUCCUUUGCUUGAAGAUUAAUUUGGUAAUGGUGGAGGAAUAAUUUGCUUGAUGAAAAUUAUAGGGUUUGAAAAUAUUUUCUAUUUCAAAAUUUUAAAAUCUAAAAGGUAAAGGUUAAAUUAUUAGAAAUAAAAGUAUAAAAAUUAAAUUUAAAAUUUUUCAAUAGUUCAGGGACCGAUGACAUAACUUAACCCUUCUAUGAUUGGACCUUUUUAGCAAACAGCACGAAUUUUCAUCCAUCUCUUUGGUCUAGCUUUUAAGUCAAGUCAACUGUUGUAGGACCUGCCAAUAAAAUCCUUUUGUUUCGACCCAAAACCUACAAAAAAAUGACUAAACUGAGUCACAUUGACUUUGCUAUUUUUCAUAAUAAUAAUAGUAAUAACAAUAAUUCAUUAACCUAAAAAUAAUAAUAACUCAAUGGUAGUUUUGUCUUCGACGGGUCAUUGGAUCUGAUUCUAAGUCCUAUCCGAAAAUUAAAAAGGGUUUGGAUAAAAAUAUAGGCUCAAAAAAUAGACUUGGACAAAAAAAAACUCGUUUAAAAAACGGGUCAGACCUUGGGUAAGGCUUUUUGGCCCAAUCUCGGCCCUAAUUAGCAAAAAGACAAAAAAAAACUACUAUUUUCUUGUUGUUUUGAUACUAUUUUCUUAUUAUUUUCUUACUUUUUUACUAUCAUUUCACUCUUAUGUUACUACUAUUUUGUUGUUAUUAUUCGGAUAUUGUAUAACUCUUAUUUUAUUAUUAAUUUUGUUACUAUUUUAGAGACAUUUGUUUGUUAAGUUACACCUAUCUUAGUAUUAUUUAAGUAUAAAUUUAUUUUUUAAAUUUAUUUUCAAUUUUUUGAGAAUCAUUUAUUUUAAUGUUUUUUUAUAUUUUAGAUGUAUUAUAUUUUUAAUUUUUUAUAUAUAAAAAAUAAUAUAAAGAAAUUAAUUUGGGCGGAUCGAACUAGACUCGAGUUUUAGCAUUUUUAUCCAAGUUGGGCUUGAAAAAAAUUUAGGCCCAUUUUUCGGGUCAAAUCGAGCCCAAACAUAGCAAACGGGCCUAAAAUAAUAAUAAUUCAUUAUUGGAUUGAGGUAGAACAUGAGGCUUGACUCUCGGCUUGUUAAUAUAUUAUUUGGUACCCAUAUUUGAUUUCAAUGUUUGAUUUGGUAUCUGAGUUUGACUUCAAUGCUUAGUUUGAUACUUGAGUUUUUUCAUAUUAAUGCUUGAGUUUUUCUUUGUCACAUAUAAGUACCUAAAUUUUACUUCAAUGUUUAAUUUGGCACUUGAGUUUUUUCUUUUGUCCCAAUUAAGUACCUAUGAUUCUUUUACUAAGGCACACAUGUAAAAUAUUUUUUGAAGUACACGAUGUUUAGUUUGGGUGCCAAAUUAAAUAUUGAAACCAAAUAUAAGCACUAAAUGGUAUAUUAACCCUUAACUUUAUCAUAUAGGGACCUAAAUUUAACAAAAAGAAAAUUAACAGUGUUAACAAUUAGACCUAAAUUCCAAAAUUUAAAAAGUAGAAAGAGUAAGUUCCUGAAAAUAAAAAUAUAGGGACUAAAUUUUAAAUUUAUGAAUCGUACAGGAUCUACAACAUAUUUUAACCCUUUGAAAAAUCAACGAUUAGACCACUUUUAGCAAAUAGCAGGAAAUUGCAUCCAUGUGCUCUAGUUUUUAAGUCAAGUCAGCUGUUGUAGGACCUGCCGACAAUAAUAAUAAUAACCACUCGUUAUUGAUUGAGGUAGAAGACGAGGCAUGACUCUAAACUUCCUUUAAUUUUAAAGUUAAUAUAUUAUUUAGUACCUAUAUUAAAAUCCUAUAUUUAAUUUUAAUAUUCAAUUCGAUACUUAAAUUUUUUUCCUAAAUUGGUACCUGAUUUUUUGGUAUUGAUACUUGAGUUUUCUUUUUCCCAUACCAGUACUCAGGUUUGACUUUAAUGUUUAAUUUAACACCUGAAUUUUUUUUGUCCCAAUUAAGUAUCUAUGUUUUUUUACUAGGCGGACAUGUCAAAUAUUUAUUGAACCACACGAUGUCGUUUAGUUUGGGUAUCGAAUUGAACAUUGAAGCCAAACUUAGGUUUCAAAUUGAAACAAAAAAAGAUUAGGUACAAAAUUGAAAAUUCAAGCCAAAUGUAAGUACCAAAUGAUAUAUUAACCCUUAAUUUUAUCAUAUAUAUAUAUAUAUGUAAAUAUUAAUCAAAAAAAUUAAACAUUUUGGUGUUGAUUAUAUAAAUAUUCAUAUAAGACAUUCACACCAAAUGGCAUGAUUUCACCCAUAUUUCUGGUAUUGUUUAUACGUUUGAGGGUCAGUCUACAAAAAAAUACAUCAGUUUUCAAAAAUUAUUUAGUUGUUAAAUAUAAGGUUGUCUUUUGCUGUGUUCAUUUUAUAAUGUGAUUUGAUCAAAAACUUCCUUCGGAUUAAAUAUAAAAUAUUGUCAUAAUCCUCUCUUACUUUUCAAAGUCUUGCGAGGUCUUGUUCUUGGAAAUUUCCCAUGUCCAGUGAGAGAUGUAGAGUGAUAUCUAUAUAUUUACGAUCAUUUUCAAAGCUUUUGCAAUAAGUUCUUUAUCACAAUCUUGCUGUCCGAAGAAAUUCAUGUCUAUAGAUAUGGACUGUUCCAUAUUCUGUAGGACGAAACUUUGUUUUAAUGCUUUCUUCUUCUUGUUUAUCAUCUCCUCUUUCACAUGUCUUCAUGUAGUCUUCGGCACAGCAAGUGAAUUUGAUUAUGGCGUUCACUGUAACUCAGUUGUUCAUGAAUCCAAACCAGUUGAUGAGGAGUUCAAUAUCAUGCCUUUCCCUGGACGUCAAUAUGGUUACUUCAGUGGUGGUGAUAAAGUCCUAAACAAUCCUCCUUCACGUUCCUACUAUGCACCCAAAUCGAAAACUCUCCUUUUCGAGACUCACCACGUAUUUACAACCGAUGCUGAUGAUGUCUUUAUGGUGGAAGGAAACCUGAUUUUUCAAACCUCGUUUUACUAUGAACAGAGUAUCUCCUCUGGAAGCUCAUAUUUUCGUGGGACACUGGACUUCGAUUUUCGAGGCUUCUGGUCUCGAACAACCGGGAAGCUUUGCAUGGUGGGAUCGAGUUAUGCUUACUCCAAAGAAGGUAAACUGCUUCAUCUUGCUGCUGUUCUUAAGAUUAAUAAUCUUCAGAGUUCAAGUAAUAUUAGUACUUUAGUCACCGGUACCAUGGAUAGCUUGAGUUCUGCUAAUGAUCCAAAUCACUUUGAGCAAAUAUCACUGCUGAUGUUUCCUCAAGUAAAUUACGCUUACACCAUGAUUUCAAAUCAGUUUAGUAAAGGGUGUCCUCGGGGAACCGAUGUCCAACCGAUGUCAUCCCUCCGCUUAUCGCAAACUCGAACUAUUUGUGAUAUGUUAGGUGGAAGCAAUGCUUUCGAAUUGGAGUAUACUGGCAGUUGUAAUUCUUCAAAGAGUUGCAAUCCAUUUGGUGAUGGUAUUGGAUAUUUACCUUCAGUAAUAUCGUUGAGUAUGAUUCAGUGCUCAAACGAUAGGCAAAGCUUGAGGUUUCUGAUAGAAUUCCGGAACGACAGCUAUCAGGGAUACUAUAGCUCUCCCAAUCUCAACACUUCAUUAAUUGGAGAAGGAUCUUGGGAUGCAAAGAGUAAUCGGCUUUGUAUCAUUGCUUGCCGAAUCUAUGAUGCAUCGAGCUCCUUGGAGAAGUCUCAUGUCGGAGACUGCACGACACGGUUGAGCUUAAGAUUCCCUGCAAUCUUGUCUAUCAGAAACCCAAGCACCAUUGUAGGAGAAAUUUGGAGUGAGAAGCCUAGGAAUGAAGGUGGUUUCUUUGACAGGGUCGAGUUCCGAAAUACUGGACGUUAUGGAGGAGGAAUUCAACUUCAAGGUUUGAAGUAUGUGUACACGGAAAUGGACGAAGUGAAGAAAUCAUGUCCAAAGAAGAAUUCUAGGACUAAUAGCAGUAUGGAACACUAUCCAGAUGGCUAUUCUGGAGACAUGAGUUUUAGUAUGUCCAUCAUUAACGGUUCCAAAGGAAGCAUCGGAUGGGGUUCUUCGGAUAUUCUUGCGGUAGAUGAUCAGCAGUAUCAGAGAUUUCCAUCUCUAUUACCAUCCUCAAGCUCAAAGCCUAAAAGUUCUGGCGUUGAAUCCGAUUCCAGCAGUGGCUUGCUUAAUGUCAGCUAUAAAAUUAGCAUCCCGCCACUUAGUUUGGAAUUGGAUGGUGGCCUCAAACCGGUUAACCAAUCUUCAUAUGAAUAUCUGCAAACCAAAAUCCAAAUUUCUGCUGAAGGGGUUUAUGAUACAACAACAGGUAGCCUAUGCAUGGUUGGCUGCAGGCGUUCAAGGUUAGACGGCAAAUCAUUUUCAAGCCAUUCGAUAGAUUGCGAUAUCCUUGUGCAAGUCAACUUUCUUCCAUUGAACUCGCGCAAGACAAAUAACAUUAAGGGAAGCAUCGAGAGCACGCGUGAAAAAACCGAUAGUCUGUAUUUCAAGCCUCUGCAGAUUUUGGGAACAACUUAUUCUCGCAGUUGGGGAGCGGAAUCGGUUUGGAGAAUGGAUUUCGAGAUGAUCGGGUCGGUCGUAUCCAACACUCUUGCAAUUAUCUUUGUUGCAUUUCAAAUCUUUCAUGUGAGGAAGCACCGUGGCAUUGGUCCUAUGGUUUCACUUCUCAUGCUUGUUAUUCUAGCCCUGGGACACUUGAUCCCUUUGGUUCUAAACCUCGAAGCAAUGUUCAUUCAAGAUAGCGAGAGAUCGGUCUUGAUUAGAGGUGGAAAGUGGCUCGAAAUGAACGAGGUGAUAAUUAGAGUCGUCACAAUGGUGGCUUUUCUGCUGCAAGUCCGUCUUCUGAUGCUCUCAUGGACUGCUAGAUGCUCCACUGAGAAGAAAAAGACCUUGUGGAUUGCAGAGAAAAGGGGGCUGUAUGUGUGUGCUCCGGUGUACGUAAUCGGAGCUAUUAUCGCCUUUUCGGUUAAGUCAAGGCAGAAUGUACACAGAACAGUAAUGGCCAGGCAUUCUUGGUACGACAUAGAUGAAAUCAUUUUGGGGAAUUCAAGAGCUUAUGCUGGUUUGAUACUGGAUGCCUUUCUUUUCCCUCAAAUCAUCUUCAACAUGUUCCACAACUCGAGAGAACUGGCUCUUUCUCGACUCUUUUACAUCGGAAUCACCCUUGUUCGCCUCGUACCCCAUGGAUAUGAUCUUUACAGG